CAGGACUCAUCGCAGGGGUGAGUAACGUGUGAGAUGUGCCUAUAUCCCCCGGUUUACAGCCUAAAGAUGAGCUCGCGUCUGAUUAGCUAGUAGGUGGGGUAAAAGCCUACCUAGGCGACGAUCAGUAGCUGGUCUGAGAGGAUGAUCAGCCACACUUUUACUGAGACACGGCCCAGACUCCUACGGGAGGCAGCAGUGGGGAAUUUUCCGCAAUGGGCGAAAGCCUGACGGAGCAAUACCGCGUGAGGGAGGAAGGCUCUUGGGUUGUAAACCUCUUUUCUCAGGGAAGAAAAAAUGACGGUACCUGAGGAAUAAGCAUCGGCUAACUCCGUGCCAGCAGCCGCGGUAAUACGGAGGAUGCAAGCGUUAUCCUUUAUGAAAGGGCGUAAAGCGUCCGCAGGUGGCUGUGUAAGUCUGCUGUUAAAGAGCAAAGCUCAACUUUGUAAGAACAGUGGAAACUACACGGCUAGAGUGCGUUCGGGGCAGAGGGAAUUCCUGGUGUAGCGGUGAAAUGCGUAGAGAUCAGGAAGAACACCGGUGGCGAAGGCGCUCUGCUAGGCCGCAACUGACACUGAGGGACGAAAGCUAGGGGAGCGAAUGGGAUUAGAUACCCCCGUAAGUCAAAGUAUGACGGGU
rnacentral:rRNA from 1 species